CGAGGUAUAGUCUAAUGCCAGGACAUCUCUUUUACACUGAGAAAGCAUUCGUUAAAAUCGAGUUGCCUUGA
rnacentral:tRNA from 1 species